rnacentral:rRNA from 1 species
AAAACGACUUUUCGCAAAGGAUAUCUCGGCUUUCGCAUUGAAGAAGAACGUAACGAAAUGCGAUUCUUGGUUUUAAUUGCAAAAUCCCGUGAACCAUCGAGUUUUUGAACGCAAGUUGCCCCCGAAACCAUUAGGCCGAGGGCCCCCCUGCCUGGGCGUCACAC